rnacentral:rRNA from 1 species
AUUGAACGCUGGCGGCAGGCCUAACACAUGCAAGUCGAGCGAGCGGCGGACGGGUGAGUAAUGUCUGGGAAACUGCCCGACGGAGGGGGAUAACUACUGGAAACGGUAGCUAAUACCGCAUACCAUCAAAUGUGCUCAGAUGGGAGUAGCUAGUAGGGGGGGUAACGGGGCACCUAGGCGACGAUCCCUAGCUGGUCUGAGAGGAUGAACAGCCGCACGGGAACUGUGAGACGGUCCAGACUCCUACGGGAGGCAGCGGUGGGGAAUAUUGCGCAAUGGGCGAAAGCCUGAUGGAGCCAUGCCGCGUGUGUGAAGAAGGCCUUCGGGUUGUAAGGCACUUUCAGCGGUGAGGCGUUACCCGCAGAAGAAGCACCGGCUAACUCCGUGCCAGCAGCCGCGGUAAUAC